rnacentral:rRNA from 1 species
GGCCUACCAUGGUGGUAACGGGUAACGGGGAGUUAGGGUUCGAUUCCGGAGAGGGAGCCUGAGAAACAGCUACCACAUCCAAGGAAGGCAGCAGGCGCGCAAAUUACCCAAUCCCGACACGGGGAGGUAGUGACAAUAAAUAACAACACAGGGCUCUUUUGGGUCUUGUUAUUGGAAUGAGUACGAUUUAAAUCUCCUAACGAGGAACAAUUGGAGGGCAAGUCUGGUGCCAGCAGCCGCGGUAAUUCCAGCUCCAAUAGCGUAUAUUAAAGUUGUUGCAGUUAAAAAGCUCGUAGUUGAAUUUCAGGCCCGGCUGGACGGUCCGCCCUUCGGGUGAGUACUGUCUGUGGUCGGGUCCUACCUUCUGGCGAAGCGUCAUGGCCUUAACCGGCCGUGGCGGGGAACCAGGACUUUUACUGUGAAAAAAUUAGAGUGUUCAAAGCAGGCAAUCGCUUGGAUACAUUAGCAUGGAAUAAUGGAGUAGGACAAUGGUUCUAUUUGUUGGUUUCUAGGACCGUUGUAAUGAUUAAUAGGGAUAGUUGGGGGCAUUAGUAUUCAAUUGUCAGAGGUGAAAUUCUUGGAUUUAUUGAAGACUAACUACUGCGAAAGCAUUUGCCAAGGAUGUUUUCAUUAAUCAAGAACGAAAGUUAGGGGAUCGAAGACGAUCAGAUACCGUCGUAGUCUUAACCAUAAACUAUGCCGACUAGGAAUCGGGCGAUGUUGAAAAAAUGACGCGCUCGGCACUUCAUGGGAAACCAAAGUGUUUGGGUUC